GAUGAACGCUAGCUACAGGCUUAACACAUGCAAGUCGAGGGGAAACGACAUCGAAAGCUUGCUUUUGAUGGGCGUCGACCGGCGCCCGGGUGAGUAACGCGUAUCCAACCUGCCCACCACUUGGGGAUAACCUUGCGAAAGUAAGACUAAUACCCAAUGAUAUCUCUAGAAGACAUCUGAAGGAGAUUAUAGAUCUAUCGGUGAUGGAUGGGGAUGCGUCGGAUUAGCUUGUUGGCGGGGUAACAGCCCAACAAGGCGACGAUCAGUAGGGGUUCUGAGAGGAAGGUCCCCGACAUUGGAACUGAGACAUGGUCCAAAAUCCUACGGGAGGCAGCAGUAAGGAAUAUUGGUCAAUGGGCGAGAGCUUGAACCAGCCAAGUAGCGUGCAGGAUGACGGCCCUAUGGGUUGUAAACUGCUUUUAUAAGGGAAUAAAGUGAGCCUCGUGAGGCUUUUUGCAUGUACCUUAUGAAUAAGGACCGGCUAAGUCCGUGCCAGCAGCCGCCGUAA
rnacentral:rRNA from 1 species